CUUCUGCAGAAAUGCAAUGUCCUCCGCCGUGUUUCACUCAGCAAUGGCCACCACUGUGUUACCGGCCUUGAAGGUGUCACAUUGCUCCUGCUGGGUUGCCUGAAGGGGACAGAGAGGUUGAGCCAAUGACAUGGGUUCCUUAGGUUGUAGUAUCGAUUGCCAGCUGAAUCUGAGUCUCAUGGCACUGCUUAGUUUGAGCAGUAUCAUGCGAGCCAUUGUAACGGAAAAGUCCGGAGUUGACUAAAAUGAUGUGAAACUAGAUGUAAUGAGUCAAAUUGUGAGUGUAUUUUUAUGUUUGUGAGUGUGUGUGUGUGUGUGUGUGUGUGUGUAUUAAUAGCAAUAACCUUUGUACUGUAUCUGCACUGAGACUCAGCUGUUGCAGCAGUCUGUCUCUGUCAAUCAGAAAAUGGUAACACACACACACACAGUCCACAUUUGUAAUCCUUAUUCUCCUUUCUCUCAGGUAUUACCCACUUUAAUCAAAUGUCUUGAUAUUACCCAAUUUUUAUCAACAACCACAUAGUAAUAUUUUAUCCACCGAGCUCCUUCAGAAAACAAGUUGACUUAUAGGCCCAUCCUGGUUCCACCAAAAUCAGCAAGUAUAUGCUAGUUUUUCAAAGACGGGAAAAUGGUGUUCAACGUCGUGGACACACAGGGUUAGUAAAAAGAAGAAAGCACUUUACUUUCUUUUAUGUAACUAUUUAUGUCUUUCUAUCAAACUCCUACAAACAAUAAAAUACUAACUAAUACAUAUAAAUGAGUUUCAUUAUGUUUUAUGUCAUGUAUAAUUUGAAAUCAGGUUGGUUUUGUGAAUGUUAAGCAUUUAAAUACAUUUGAAUUGUCCAAAUCCCUGCAGAAAUUAAUAGCAUUAUACAGCGGGUGAAAAUUAGCAUUUCCAAUGGGUGUUAUAUUUCCAUCUCUGCCAAUCGCAGCUGGAGCCGAUGAACACCAUGAACUGCAGAGUAAUUUGUCCUGGGAAUUUUAACAUUUCACAAAGCCAGAUGUUAGGUGGUGUUAUUGGAUGUUUUACGUUUAAAAACAGUGUUAUAGCAAAUGCAUUUUCUUGCCUGCCUAAAGUAUCUGGAGGGGUGCAUUGUGUCAUGUCCCAUCUUGGUGGAACACUUGUCAUUGGUUGAUAUUUCCACUGAAAAAAAUUAAAAUGUUACGACCGCUUAAGUGUCAUAUAAAAUAAGGUAAGUUCCUCUAAUUUGAAGCACUACCCCUUAAUAUCUUUCUUCUCUCCCCUGCUGUACUUUGUAUUUCUGAAUUGUCUGAGCUGAACCGUCCUGUCAAUCUGUUCUCUUCAACACCUCUCUGUCAUCAGUCCAGAAAUACAGGUUGACCUGAUAAGUGUUAAAUGUCUCCCAUGUCUUUUUCCAACUGCGUGCCAUGUUUAAACCUUCUAAUUCAGUUACAGACAGCAUUUGUUACAUCACAUCUGAGUAAUAAAUACCAGGAAUUCACAGUAA